CUACGGGGGGCAGCAGUGGGGAAUAUUGGACAAUGGGGGCAACCCUGAUCCAGCCAUGCCGCGUGUGUGAAGAAGGCCCUCGGGUUGUAAAGCACUUUCAGUGAGGAAGAACGCCUGGUGGUUAAUACCCAUCAGGAAAGACAUCACUCACAGAAGAAGCACCGGCUAACUCCGUGCCAGCAGCCGCGGUAAUACGGAGGGUGCGAGCGUUAAUCGGAAUUACUGGGCGUAAAGCGCGCGUAGGUGGCUUGAUAAGCCGGUUGUGAAAGCCCCGGGCUCAACCUGGGAACGGCAUCCGGAACUGUCAAGCUAGAGUGCAGGAGAGGAAGGUAGAAUUCCCGGUGUAGCGGUGAAAUGCGUAGAGAUCGGGAGGAAUACCAGUGGCGAAGGCGGCCUUCUGGACUGACACUGACACUGAGGUGCGAAAGCGUGGGUAGCAAACAGGAUUAGAUACCCCUGUAGUC
rnacentral:rRNA from 1 species